GAACCUUGGGUCUCGCCUCGCCGUGAGAAGGCGGCUGGCCGACCUUUGUUCUUUCGAGACAAAGCCCUGAACUUGGGUCCUCGCGCUGCGCAGGAAACUGGAAGGACUACUUUAGCAAAAUAAGGAAAUAAAAGAAGAACAUGGAAGAUGUGGAAAAGAAGAUACAAAAAGAAAAGUAGCAAGGAAAAUCCUAAGGUGGCACAAGGGGAUAUCCCAGAACUUCAAGGAAACAACAGUACCGGAAAUGAGGAGGAAGAAAGAGGGCUCCAGAGGCAACUCAGAAUAAAUAAAUAAAUAAAUAAAUAAUGUUGAA